rnacentral:rRNA from 1 species
GUGCCAGCCGCCGCGGUAAUACAUAGGGGGCGAGCGUUAUCCGGAAUUAUUGGGCGUAAAGGGUGCGUAGGCGGUUUAUUAAGUCUGGCGUGAAAUCCCACAGCUUAACUGUGGAGGGUCGUUGGAAACUGGUAAACUUGAGUACAGUAGAGGUAAGUGGAAUUCCAAGUGGAGCGGUGGAAUGCGUAGAUAUUUGGAGGAACACCAGUGGCGAAGGCGGCUUACUGGGCUGGAACUGACGCUGAGGCACGAAAGCGUGGGGAGCAAACAGGAUUAGAUACCCUGGUAGUCCACGCCGUAAACGAUGAGCACUAAGUGUCGGGAGUUAUCUCGGCGCUGCAGUUAACACAAUAAGUGCUCCGCCUGGGGAGUACGGUCGCAAGACUGAAACUCAAAUGAAUUGACGG